GGAGUAUGGACCGUCUCUCAGUUCCAUUGUGACCGUUCAUCCUCUCAGACCGGUUACCGAUCGUCGGCUUGGUAAGCCUUUACCUUACCAACUACCUAAUCGGACGCAAACCCCUCUCCUAGCGAUAAAUCUUUUAUAUAUCAGUCAUGCAACCAAUAUACUCCAUUCGGUAUUAGCAACCCUUUCGAGCUGUUGUCCCCAUCUUGAAGGUAGGUUAUUUGCGCUUUACUCACCCGUUUGCCACUAGGUACUAGACCCCGUUCGACUUGCAUGUGUUAAGCCUGUAGCUAGCGUUCAUC
rnacentral:rRNA from 1 species